AGGACGAACGCUGGCGGCGUGCUUAACACAUGCAAGUCGAGCGGAAAGGCCCUUCGGGGUACUCGAGCGGCGAACGGGUGAGUAACACGUGAGCAACCUGCCCCUGGCUCUGGGAGUAGCCUUCGGAAACGGGGAGUUAAUACCGGAUAUUCACUGCUUCCUGCAUGGGGGGUGGGUGGAAAGUUUUUCGGUCGUGGGGUGGGGCGUCGCGGCCUAUCAGCUUGUUGGGGGGUGACGGCCCACCAAGGCGACGACGGGUAGCCGGCCUGAGAGGGCGACCGGCCACACUGGGACUGAGACACGGCCCAGACUCCUACGGGAGGCAGCAGUGGGGAAUAUUGCGCAAUGGGCGGAAGCCUGACGCAGCGACGCCGCGUGCGGGAUGAAGGCCUUCGGGUUGUAAACCGCUUUCACCAGGGACGAAGCGAGAGUGACGGUACCUGGGGAAGAAGAGCCGGCUAACUACGUGCCAGCAGCCGC
rnacentral:rRNA from 1 species